rnacentral:rRNA from 1 species
UACGGAGGGGGCUAGCGUUGUUCGGAAUUACUGGGCGUAAAGCGCACGUAGGCGGCUUUGCAAGUUAGAGGUGAAAGCCCGGGGCUCAACUCCGGAAUUGCCUUUAAAACUGCAUCGCUAGAAUUGUGGAGAGGUAAGUGGAAUUCCCGGUGUAGAGGUGAAAUUCGUAGAUAUCGGGAGGAACACCGGUGGCGAAGGCGGCGAUCUGGGUCGAUACUGACGCUGAGGUGCGAAAGCGUGGGGAGCAAACAGGG